rnacentral:rRNA from 1 species
UGCGAACUCCUACGGGAGGCAGCAGUGAGGAAUAUUGGUCAAUGGGCGAGAGCCUGAACCAGCCAAGUCGCGUGAAGGAUGACUGUCUUAUGGAUUGUAAACUUCUUUUGUAGGGGAAUAAAGAAUGGUACGUGUACCAUAGUGAAUGUACCCUACGAAUAAGCAUCGGCUAACUCCGUGCCAGCAGCCGCGGUAAUACGGAGGAUGCGAGCGUUAUCCGGAUUUAUUGGGUUUAAAGGGUGCGUAGGCGGCCUGUUAAGUCAGCGGUGAAAUCUAGGGGCUUAACUCCUAAAUUGCCAUUGAUACUGGUGGGCUUGAGUGUAGAUGAGGUAGGCGGAAUGCGUGGUGUAGCGGUGGAAUGCAUAGAUAUCACGCAGAACUCCAAUUGCGAAGGCAGCUUACUAAGGUACAACUGACGCUGAAGCACGAAAGCGUGGGUAUCAAACAGGAUUAGAUACCCUGGUAGUCCUAUC